CAAGUGUGAGCGCCGCUUGUCGUGUCUAUACACACGACGGUCGUUUUCCGUCGUAGUCGAAGACUGCUGUCUUGUUGUACGGUAGGUGUUUCUAAGAAUGGAUGGCUGCUGCUAGGUAUGAAGACAUAUCUUGGGAAGCAUGUACAGCUCAAAUGCUUAUGCACCGUCCACCGCUAAUACCUAUUCCUUCAUGCACUUAUUUCUGCAUGUUCUGGAGUCGACUGAAGACGUUUUCAUCUGUGUUUUUCACCCCCGUCCUUUCGGCCAACGUCAAGAAAGAUGACAACGACAGUUGUAUCAUCUAUAACGUCGUCCUCAAGCCUCCACCGCCGAUUGGCUUCUUCGAUGAGGCCAUCGCAGGCACCGAGAGGGUCUCUGGAAUCGAGGAAGCGAGAGACAAUCUGAGUCACUUCUUCGUUGGUCAUGAACUCCCAAAGGCCAUCAGAGGCAAUGACGAUGAAAUCGUCUUGAGGCGUAAGAGAAACCACUGAAAUUUCUGGCUCACCAAUGACUCCAACGGAGGCUGCUAAGGAAUCGCCUAGGGAUCGCGACAUCGCGAGGCCUGGCGCAUCGCAGUCUUUUCUCCAGACCCUGAAAACGUAAAAGGUGGAACCGCGCAGACAUGAACACUACUGUGUCACUGAAGAUGCACGUCCGUGAGUCACCGUAUCAAUUGAGAGGAAAAUCUUCGUCAAUACGCUUUCUGGGAAGCUGUUGUCAGGAGUUUCGAAGAAACAUUGAGCUUGUCCUCCUUCAUCUUCUCGACAAAACAGUUUAUCGUGUCCGCUCUACGCCUUAUUCAGUGCGACGCCUAGAUGCCAGGAAUUAAACAUCGCCUACGCGAUGCGUGUCGUCCGCGGGCAAUGCGGCGAGACAGAGUCGGUAGUGUGUGUUGUAAGGAGCCGCUUGCUGUUUCCGUGGAAGAUGAACCUCCAAGUAACUGGUUCCUAAUGGUUUCUGCUGUGUUUCUUUUGGGUAAAAUGGCC
rnacentral:lncRNA from 1 species